UACAUGCAUGACUGUAUGUCGCUUUGGAUAAAAGUGUCUGCUUAAUGGCAUAUA
rfam:Salmo salar isolate Sally breed double haploid chromosome ssa09, whole genome shotgun sequence.